GUCUAUGGCCAUGCCACCUUGAACACACCCGAUCUUGUCUGAUCUCAGAAGCUAAACAGGGUUGCGCCUGGUUAGUACUUGGAUGGGAGACCACCUAGGAAGAUCCAGUGCUGUAUGCU
rnacentral:rRNA from 1 species